AGAAUCAACGCUGGCGGCGUGCCUAACACAUGCAAGUCGCACGAGAAAGGGGAGCAAUCCCUGAGUACAGUGGCGCACGGGUGAGUAACACGUGAAUCAUCUACCUCCGAGUGGGGAAUAACUGAGAGAAAUCUUAGCUAAUACCGCAUAACACUUACGAGUCAAAGCAGCAAUGCGCUUGGAGAGGAGUUCGCGGCAGAUUUAGUUAGGUUGGGCGGGUAAUGGCCCACCAAGACGAUGAUCUGUA
rnacentral:rRNA from 1 species